rnacentral:rRNA from 1 species
AUGAACGCUAGCUACAGGCUUAACACAUGCAAGUCGAGGGGCAGCAUGAACUUAGCUUGCUAAGUUUGAUGGCGACCGGCGCACGGGUGAGUAACACGUAUCCAACCUGCCGAUGACUCGGGGAUAGCCUUUCGAAAGAAAGAUUAAUACCCGAUGGCAUAGUUCUUCCGCAUGGUAGAACUAUUAAAGAAUUUCGGUCAUCGAUGGGGAUGCGUUCCAUUAGGUUGUUGGCGGGGUAACGGCCCACCAAGCCUUCGAUGGAUAGGGGUUCUGAGAGGAAGGUCCCCCACAAUGGAACUGAGACACGGACCAAACGCCUACGGGAGGCAGCAGUGAGGAAUAUUGGUCAAUGGACGAGAGUCUGAACCAGCCAAGUAGCGUGAAGGAUGACUGCCCUAUGGGUUGUAAACUUCUUUUAUACGGGAAUAAAGUGAGGCACGUGUGCCUUUUUGUAUGUACCGUAUGAAUAAGGAUCGGCUAACUCCGUG